rnacentral:rRNA from 1 species
GAUGAACGCUGGCGGCGUGCCUAAUACAUGCAAGUCGAGCGAACGGACGAGAAGCUUGCUUCUCUGAUGUUAGCGGCGGACGGGUGAGUAACACGUGGAUAACCUACCUAUAAGACUGGGAUAACUUCGGGAAACCGGAGCUAAUACCGGAUAAUAUUUUGAACCGCAUGGUUCAAAAGUGAAAGACGGUCUUGCUGUCACUUAUAGAUGGAUCCGCGCUGCAUUAGCUAGUUGGUAAGGUAACGGCUUACCAAGGCAACGAUGCAUAGCCGACCUGAGAGGGGGGUCGGCCACACUGGGACUGAGGCCCGGUCCCGACUCCUACGGGAGGCCGCAGUAGGGGAUCUUUCGGCAUUGGGGGAAACCCGACGGAGCAACGGCGCGUGGGUGGUGAAGGUCCUCCGAUCGUUAAACUCUGUUAUUAGGGAAGAACAUAUGUGUAAGUAACUGUGCACAUCUUGACGGUACCUAAUCAGAAAGCCACGGCUAACUACGUG